CCUACGGGAGGCAGCAGUGAGGAAUAUUGGUCAAUGGGCGCUAGCCUGAACCAGCCAAGUAGCGUGAAGGAUGACUGCCCUAUGGGUUGUAAACUUCUUUUAUAUGGGAAUAAAAUGUUCCACGUGUGGGAUUUUGUAUGUACCAUAUGAAUAAGGAUCGGCUAACUCCGUGCCAGCAGCCGCGGUAAUACGGAGGAUCCGAGCGUUAUACGGAUUUAUUGGGUUUAAAGGGAGCGUAGGUGGAUUGUUAAGUCAGUUGUGAAAGUUUGCGGCUCAACCGUAAAAUUGCAGUUGAAACUGGCAGUCUUGAGUACAGUAGAGGUUGGCGGAAUUCGUGGUGUAGCGGUGAAAUGCUUAGAUAUCACGAAGAACUCCGAUUGCGAAGGCAGCUCACUGGACUGCAACUGACACUGAGGCUCGAAAGUGUGGGUAUCAAACAGGAUUAGAUACCCGAGUAGUC
rnacentral:rRNA from 1 species